UACGGGGGGGAGCAAGCGUUGUUCGGAUUUACUGGGCGUAAAGGGCGCGUAGGCGGCGUGACAAGUCACUUGUGAAAUCUCCGGGCUUAACUCGGAACGGUCAAGUGAUACUGUCGUGCUAGAGUACAGAAGGGGCAACUGGAAUUCUCGGUGUAGCGGUGAAAUGCGUAGAUAUCGAGAGGAACACCUGCGGCGAAGGCGGGUUGCUGGGCUGAUACUGACGCUGAGGCGCGAAA
rnacentral:rRNA from 1 species